AUACGGAGGAUGCAAGCGUUAUCCGGAUUUAUUGGGUUUAAAGGGUGCGUAGGCGGUUUGCUAAGCGGGAGGCGAAAUGCCGGCGCUCAACGUCGGAAGUGCCUCCCGAACUGGGGGGCUUGAAUGACUCUGCCGUGGGAGGAAUGUGUAGUGUAGCGGGGAAAUGCUUAGAGAUUACACAGAACACCGAUUGCGAAGGCAUCUCACGAAGGGUUGAUUGACGCUGAGGCACGAAAGCGUGGGGAUCAAACAGGAUUAGAUACCCUGGUAGUCCACGCAGUAAACGAUGAUGGCUAACCGCUGGGCUUAUCAGUUCAGUGGCCAAGCGAAAGCGAUAAGCCAUCCACCUGGGGAGUACGACCGCAAGGUUGAAACUCAAAUGAAUUGACGGG
rnacentral:rRNA from 1 species